UACGUAGGGGGCUAGCGUUGUCCGGAAUCAUUGGGCGUAAAGCGCGUGUAGGCGGUCCGGUAAGUCCGCUGUGAAAGUCGGGGGCUCAACCCUCGAAUGCCGGUGGAUACUGUCGGGCUAGAGUGCGGAAGAGGCGAGUGGAAUUCCUGGUGUAGCGGUGAAAUGCGCAGAUAUCAGGAGGAACACCAAUUGCGAAGGCAGCUCGCUGGGACGUUACUGACGCUGAGGCGCGGAAAGCCAGGGUAGCGAACGGG
rnacentral:rRNA from 1 species